rnacentral:rRNA from 1 species
GAUGAACGCUAUCUACAGGCUUAACACAUGCGAGUCGAGGGGCAGCAUGGUCUUAGCUUGCUAAGGCCGAUGGCGACCGGCGCACGGGUGAGUAACGCGUAUCCAACCUGCCUUACACUCUUGGACAGCCUUCUGAAAGGGAGAUUAAUACAAGAUGUUAUCAUGAGUAAGCAUUUUCGCAUGAUUAAAGGUUUACCGGUGUAAGAUGGGGAUGCGUUCCAUUAGAUAGUAGGCGGGGUAACGGCCCACCUAGUCUUCGAUGGAUAGGGGUUCUGAGAGGAAGGUCCCCCACAUUGGAACUGAGACACGGUCCAAACUCCUACGGGAGGCAGCAGUGAGGAAUAUUGGUCAAUGGACGAGAGUCUGAACCAGCCAAGUAGCGUGAAGGAUGAAGGUUCUAUGGAUUGUAAACUUCUUUUAUACGGGAAUAAACGAAUCCACGUGUGGAUUUUUGCAUGUACCGUAUGAAUAAGGAUCGGCUAACUCCGUGCCAGCAGCCGCGGUAAUACGGAGGAUCCGAGCGUUAUCCGGAUUUAUUGGGUUUAAAGGGAGCGUAGAUGGGUUGUUAAGUCAGUUGUGAAAGUUUGCGGCUCAACCGUAAAAUUGCAAUUGAUACUGGCAGUCUUGAGUACAGUUGAGGUAGGCGGAAUUCGUGGUGUAGCGGUGAAAUGCUUAGAUAUCACGAAGAACUCCGAUUGCGAAGGCAGCUUACUAACCUGUAACUGACAUUGAUGCUCGAAAGUGUGGGUAUCAAACAGGAUUAGAUACCCUGGUAGUCCACACGGUAAACGAUGAAUACUCGCUGUAGGCGAUAUACAGUCUGCGGCCAAGCGAAAGCAUUAAGUAUUCCACCUGGGGAGUACGCCGGCAACGGUGAAACUCAAAGGAAUUGACGGGGGCCCGCACAAGCGGAGGAACAUGUGGUUUAAUUCGAUGAUACGCGGGGAACCUUACCCGGGCUUAAAUUGCAACCGAAUAUGGCGGAAACGCUAUAGCUAGCAAUAGCGGUUGUGAAGGUGCUGCAUGGUUGUCGUCAGCUCGUGCCGUGAGGUGUCGGCUUAAGUGCCAUAACGAGCGCAACCCUUGCCGAUAGUUACUAACAGGUCAUGCUGAGGACUCUGUCGGGACUGCCAUCGUAAGAUGUGAGGAAGGUGGGGAUGACGUCAAAUCAGCACGGCCCUUACGUCCGGGGCUACACACGUGUUACAAUGGGGGGUACAGAGGGCUGCUACCACGCAAGUGGAUGCCAAUCCCAAAAACCUCUCUCAGUUCGGAUUGAAGUCUGCAACCCGACUUCAUGAAGCUGGAUUCGCUAGUAAUCGCGCAUCAGCCACGGCGCGGUGAAUACGUUCCCGGGCCUUGUACACACCGCCCGUCAAGCCAUGGGAGCCGGGGGUACCUGAAGUGCGUAACCGCAAGGAGCGCCCUAGGGUAAAACUGGUGACUGGGGCUAA